UGUCCUUAUAAAACUGGAUAAAGUAAUUGCAAAACAGGAAGAGCAUUCUCUCUUGCUUGGCGGCUACUGCAGACAAGAGAGGAAGACACAGGGCCAGAGAACCCGAUCCCAUCUAUUGGUCAGUUACCUGACUUGCUCUCCUUUGAGGAUAAGCUGAGGGUGGACGAAGAGCUCCAAAAAAAAACAGUUAAAUACCUUUCUACAAUUGGAGGACCAAACUAUGGAGAGACAGUGCGGCGAAUCAUGAGAAAAAUCACUUCCUCAGAAGUUUGGUCACGCUUUAGCCUCAAAGGAAGGAAGGGGAAGAGGAGACUUGAAGAACUCUCAGUUUAUCGAGUUCUAAUAAGUAUAAAAAAAAUCAACAGUGUCUGCAUAUAUUUUAUUGUAUACGUUCUAUUGCAUUUUCAAUUAUCAUAUAUUUAAUAUCAAGAGGUAUUGCAUUACAGUGACAUAAUUCUACAUGAUUGCCAAUAGAAAUGGGAUGAAUACCUGUUUGUUCAAAUGUAAAGUAUACUUGUUCAUCUCUAAAAACUUUACUUAAACCAUUUAGGGGCAAUAAUGAAAUCACAACCUGGGUCUACUAGCAUGGAUGCUGAAAGCCAGAUUGCAGAGACCCUUAAACAUGCACCAGGUCUGGUUAGGAGAAAGGCUAAUCGAUCAGUUACUCCACAUUUACAAGAUGGCUCAUUGGACCUCUUCUCAUAAUUUUAAUUUUACCUGUGCCUGCCACCCAUCAUUCUCUGUCCCCGGACUGUCUGCAUGGUUUUGACUUGUGCCUGGCGACUGGUUUCUGCGCUUGCCCUUUCCCACUGGAUUUGUUUAUCUUUAUUGGACUGUCUACCGACCUUCUCGUCUGCUCUCCCCUGUCCGCCGUGUUCUCCAGUCCCGAGUCGUCCUCAUCAGCUGGUGCCUUGAUGACUGUUUC